rnacentral:lncRNA from 1 species
UAGGAUUUACAUUUAUAUUUAUUCAUGCAUUCAUUCACAUUCCACCAAAUCAUGAACCAUAAGUUUUAUUUUCUUUUUUUUCCAAUAAAUCAAUUAAAAUUUAUACAAAUAUUUUGGGAUACAAGUUUUAUAUAAAAAAAAGAUUAUUACACCAUGCUCUUUAGAGUUUUGAUACAUUUUAAACUUAGGUCUAAGUAACAUGAAUCUAAGACCUAACAAUUUAAAUCUUCAAAAUUCCAAGCA